AACCAGCACGUUGCACGACCAACACACACUUCGACCUAUGUCCCCCCUUCAAGAUGUUUAUGAAAAUUAAACGAGCCGAAGGCGAGCAGGAGGUUCCCUCGCGCCGGAGGCGCCGUGUCACACCACGACGGACAACGCGCCGCACGAACCAGCACGCUGCACGACCAAAACACACUUCGACCUAUGCCCCUCCUUCAAGAUGUUUAUGAAUAUUAAACGAGCCGAAGGCGAGCAGGAGGUUCCCUCGCGCCGGAGGCGCUUUUCUUCAAUUUAGUAAAGUUAUACACCCGUGCCUCUCCUAGUGUUCACCUGUGCCUAUAAGAAGUCACACGAUUGAACAAUUCUGAAGACUGCCGUUUACAUUAAAGAGUUGCUUUUUUCCUUACUUGAAAGGUCACAUUUGAUAGUGUUGGUGGUCCCCGCCCGUAACUACCCCAUAAAUCUCCAUUAUCCGGAAAUAUAAUGGGAACAAAAAGGGAAACGAGAAAGGGAAACAAGGAACCAACCGCGCGAACUGGUAUUUUCUUUGUAUUUUCGCGCGGAAAGGGAAAACGGAAAAUUCUAAUAGUUCGAGGGUCAAACUGCAAAAUGAACGAAACCACAAACCGGAAAGGGAAAACCGGAAAGGGAAAACCGGAAACCAACCGCACCAACUGGUUUUCCCUCGCGGGAACGCUCCGCGCGCGACACUUGUCACGCGUGGAGUGCUCCCAAACCGCUCGUUACGAGCGCUCCCAAGGAGCGCUCGUUAACUAGUUGCUCCAUAAUAUGAUAGCAGCAGCAGCCUAGCUCGCCUCCUGCACUCAGCUCGGCCGGCCUACAUGUUCCUCGCCCCAGCGGCCUAGCACAACGCCCUAGCACACCGCGACUCCACCCCGUGACCGCGAGAUCUCCCCAUCCUCGUUAUUCCUCAUGGCGGCGGCAGCCCCAUCCACGUACAAGGUGGCGCCGGCGGCCUCCCCAUCCGCGUAGCCAGGCUCGGCCGCCACCCCCCUCCCCGACGGACUCCCUCUCGCAUCCUCCCGCGUGCGCUCCUGCGGCGGUCAAGGCUUCGGCGGCUGCAGUCAAGGCGGCAGCGGCACGGCAGUCAAGGCGGCGGCGGCGCAACUUCCCCAGCCUCAACCGCCGAGCAUACGCCCCCCAUCCACGCACGACGAGCAGUAGGUACGAAUCAUACCCAACUGGACACAAUUUCGCCCCAAUCUGCAAAACCUAGGGUUUCAAUCUUAUUUUUGGUACAUCCAAUAUAGUAGUGACCCCUGCGGUUGUUGCUGAUUCGUAUGCAGUAAGAGCCAACGCCGCACCUUUCCGCCACGCCGAGCCGGCCAUCUCACGCCCUCCACGACGCCUCCUCGCCAUGGCACAACGCUCGAUCAUCAACACCAAUGCCCAGCUCUUAGCCCUGCAGAACCUCCCCGGUCUAAGUCGGGUCAUACAACUGGUGAGGCUGGAUGAUCUGGCUUCGGCGCCAAACAUGUACCAGCACCUCCACUCCCUAGUGACAGCAAGACAGUGGACAUGAGAAAAGCUAACCGUUCUGGAAGGACUUAGCUGAUUGGCUCUUGCUGUCCAACGCCUCCGCGGCGAUCUCGAAGCCUACAGCCCGCCAUGAAUCCACAUGCCGCCUUACAGGGGCCUAACAGCGUUCUCCACACGAUUGCUCGGAUUCAGUACCAAGCGGUUCAGCUAAGACGUGCUAAGACCGAGAUCAGAUUUAAGGUGUGCCCUUUUGGUGUGCAAAGCCGGGAUGGAUCAGGAAACACAUGAAGGGCACAAGUAUGUUUAAAUUCAAAUCAGACGAAUAAGUAUGUUGCGCUCGCAAAGGCUGCAAGAGUUGUUGCUUAAUCCUGCCGAAGGAGCAAAAUAGGGAAAAAGAUCUUGACAUGCACCAAUGUCAUGAUGACAAGAAACAAUCUGUUGGGUGAAGAAACAUAGUCACACUAUUCGUAUGUAAAACAAAUAAUUUUCAUACUAAACUUCUAUACUUAUUUUAACCUAAUUGAAUCAUAUUGCAAUUUUAGUUACUAUAAGUUUCUUUUACAUAUGCAUCAUAGUUAACCCACAAACAUGUUUCCAAAUAAUAAUUAUAUUAGUCUUUUAUAUACAUUUGUAAUGUAUAUAAUUGGAAAAAAUGUGAAAUUUAGAUUGUAUCAUGUAAUAACAAAAAAAAUUAAAAUUUUUUUGCAAAAAAGUAUAAUAUCACACAAACUAUAUGGUGUACACAUAUUUUUUUGUAUCUAUGCAUGUGUUUGUAUAUUUGUUAAUAGUAUUCAAUAUCAUGGCAGAAAUUUUAAAUGAUACACACUAAAAAAAAUCUUAAUAGUGGUUUCUAGCGACUAUUAGGUAAACUUAUUUAUAGAAACAUCUAGGGUAUAGCAAUUAUGACUUGCAGGUUGGGUUUAGCAAUAAGUUACAACAUGCUUUCUACUUGUAUUUAAAUUAGCACUAUUAUUAAAAUGAUGAAAUAAGAUAAAAUGUUCUCAAUUUUACAUUUACAUAUAAUUUUAUUAACUGACAUGCUCAUCAAGAUUCACUUGGUUUAAUAUGGUGCUUAUGAGAUCUCAUAGCCAUUUUUCAAAUUAAAAAUUGUGCAUUGGUCUAAACACAAAAAUCUCUCAAUGAUAAAUUUCAUUAUGAUACUGAGACCUCCAUCAUCAAGAGAGACACCGAUUUGACCCAUGAAAAUCGUUCUCCUCCCCAUCUACCCUUGAGUUUGGGAGCUCCUAUACGGGAGGUCCUAUCUGCCGCUCUCUGUGGUAGAAUGUCGAGCUCGAUAAAAAAGACUUCGGUAAGCAGGGUUCGAGCCUGAGACCAGACCCUCGAAGAAGUACAGCUAAACAGUUGAGCUAGCGUGCCACCUAUUAAAUAAUGCUGCGCAAAAUCUUAAGAACCAAACCGAGCGCACAUCCGAACGUUUUAGAAAAUUUGCAUGCAAAAAGUUAUUUUGAGGAAAAAUAAUGUGAACAUCGUAUGAAACAGCGAACACUUUUAGAAAUUCUGAAUAAAAUUUGAAAAAACUCCAAUAUUUCAAAAAAUGCAAACAAUUUUUGGAAAAAUGGGAACUUUUUUAAGCUCCCCCAAAAAUAGAAAACGUGAACAUUUUUUUUGAAAACCCGAACAUUUUUCAAAUUCCGAAACAAAGUUUGGGUACACAAACAUUUUUGAAAAGUGGGAACAUUUUUGGAUACUCCCGAACAAAACUUGAAAACAUGAACAAAUUUUAAAUUUGCGCACAUUUUUUAAAACUCCCGAACAAACCUUGAAACAUGAAUUUUUUUUGGAAUUUGUGAACAAUUUUUAAAUAAAAAAUUUAUUGAAAAUCCCAACAAAAUUUGAAAACCUGCACAUUUUUUUGAAAUGGUGAACAAAUUUUGAAAUGGGAUGAUUUUUGAACUCCCAAACAAAAUAUAAAACGUGAAUUUUUUGAACUUAUAUAUAUUUUUUUGAAAAGUGCGAACAUUUUUUGAAACUCCCGAACAAAACUUGAAAACAAGAAAUUUUUUUAAUUUGCUUACAUUUUUUAAAACUCCUGAACAAAAAAUGAAACAUGAACAAUUUUUGGAAUUUGCGAACAAUUUUUAAAUAAAAAAAUUUAUUGAAACUCCCAACAAAAUUUGUAAACCUGCACAUUUUGUUGAAAUUGGUGAACAAAUUCUGAAGUGGGAAGACUUUUUAAACUCCCAAACAAAAUGUUAAAACGUGAUUUUUUUUUGAACUUAUAUAUUUUCUAAACCAAAUAUUUUUUGUAAUGUGCGAACAUUUUUUAGAAAGAAAGAUCAUUUUUUAAUUUGUGAACAAAAAUUCCUAACAAAGAACUUUUUUAAAAUUCGGCACAUUUUUCGAGUUUUGGAAAAGAAUUUGAAAUUCUGGAGAACAAGAAAGGAAAUAAAAAGAGAAGAAAAAACAAUUUAAAAAAGAAAUGAUUGAAACAGAAAAAGCAAGGAAAGAAAAAGAAAAAAACAGAAACCAAAAAGAAACAGAAAAAACCAGAGAAAACCCGGCUGAAGAACCUUCGAGAAUGUUCCCAAAACCGGUCAGGAACCUUCCGGAAGGUUCCCAAAACCGGACACGGUAGCGUGUUUGUUAUCUCGUAGUUGGGCCGGCCCAUGUUGAUCGCUUGGUCGCCAUGCUCUGUGCGAAGCAGCGACAGGUUGACGCAAGGAGCGUCCGUUAGGAAAUUCCCUAACGAGAGUCCGUUAGGAAAUUCCCUCCUAUACGGCGCUGCAGGCGCCUGGCGCCUGCAACGCCCCGCGCUGGGCCGGCCCAUGGAACGUGCAAACCAGUCAACGGAAAAAAGCUCGCAAAAAAAACCGAUAAAACAUGGUGCUCUCAUCCGGAUUCGAACUCACCAUAUCAUAUUAAGGUACAGACGCCACUAGCCACACGAGCUACUUGCUGAUUAGUAACAGAGGCAAAAGCAUACUAACAGGGUCGCGGUGCUACUUUAUUGCACAAAACUAUUCAUCUAUUGUACCUCUUAAUCUUUUUGAAUUAUUUCGAAAAAAUAUCAUGAUUUUGAAAAAGGUUCUUCACUUUGGAAGAAAAAGUUCACAAACCUGAAAAAAGUUCAUUGAUCUUCAAAAAAAACAUAGAUUUUGAAAAAAAAGUUCAUCAAUUUGAAAAUGUUCACAGAUGUUUAAAAGAAAAAAAAAUCAAAUUUGAAAAACUUUCAUCGAAUUUGGAAAAGAGGGUGCUCGAUGACAUAGCAGAAAUCUAGGAAAGCAGACAAGAUUCAAAAGAGAGUGACACAGUAUUAUUAGGCCCAAACUUUGCAGAGGUAAACUUUUAAAAAGCAAAAUCUUGUGUAUAUUGCAACACCUACUCUUUUCAUGUUGUUACACAACUCUUUUUUCUAACAGCUUUUUUCAUCAAUAUUAUUGUUUGCAGCACAUAUUGAAAUUAAAUAAAGAGAAAACUAGUGUUGCAAAAUUUAAAAGUGAAUUGCAAAAAACAAAGAAUCAGCUGGUUCCCAUGUAUCUCAAAGAAAAUCAACGGAAAAAGCUAUCAACAGCAAACAUGGUAACAUCCCUUUCCUCCACGACAAAAUCACAAAAUAUGCGUUCUAUCAAAUUACUUCAUAUUAAACUGUCAGGAAACCAACAAGUAUUUUGUACGCACAUAUUCCUUCCAAUGGAGAAGCAUGACCGCUACGUACUAUAUGUGCUGGACAAAUACAAACACAAAGUUUACAUUAUUGAUCCUCGAGAAGCGACUCCAGCGGAAUUUGAGAAAGAAAAGAUAGACAUUGAUAAAUUGGAUCAAAAUGAAGCAUGUCGAGUUCUUGAGGAACAUGAAGACGCUCAAGAAGAAAGAGUAAGACAGUUUCAGGAAUAUCACGCUCAUAAGUUGGCAAUCGUAAGCAUUUAUACAUAACAAUUUUUUCAGUUUUACAAGUUGCAGUAUUAAAACAAUUACAAAUACAAUUCCCAGGUACCUAGGAUUAAAGAAGUCUUCAACACCAUACUUGAGCAAACAAUGAAUCCAAAGAAAACAAGAUGGCAGAUUCAUACCGUGCAAGAUGUUCCAGUGGUAGAAAAGGGUGAAUCACCAUUUGCUGUUUUAAAGCUUGCAUUCCUCUACAAUGGUGAAAAGUUCAUCGAAGACCUGGAAGAUUUGACAGUAAGUCUAUAUAUAUUUACUUAUAAACAACUUUUAUGAACCAACUCUAAUAAUAUACUUCUCUUUCUCGGAAAAAUUUCACAGGAUGAGGUCGAAGACUGGAGGGCAGAGGCAAUGUACAUUCUCUUAAGUAGCGAGAUGAAUCAAGUCAAAUCUAGUGAAAUGGGUAAAGAGAUAAGCAAGAUCUUCAACAAAAAUGAAGACUAAAACUUUUGAUUUAGCCAGCGAGGCUAAUUCUAUCUAGACGUGACAAAACAGUUUAUCAGUAACUCACAUUUGUACGUAAUGUAGUUAGAAAUUGCGUGUUCAUGUUGAAAAAGAACUAUUUCGACAACAGUGCCUCUUACAUUAUCAGAGAGUGCCAGUACACUAUAAACAACAAUGCCUCUUCUUAUCUGUACGACAGCAGUGUAUCCCAAAACGAACCCUUACACGUGACUCUGGAGACCACCCUCCCGUGCCUCCAGAGGCGACAUGGCCCUGUGCCACCAAAUCCUGGGUCACCAUGCCUCCAGGCAAUAUCCAGACACACACAUACCAAGAGCGCCUCAAACGUGGCUAGCUCCUACGCACACGUGACUGCAGAUGAUUCACACCCGUGCCUCCGGAGGCAACAUACCAAUGCCUUCGGACAACACACAUGUGCAUGCACGCACAUUUUUCAAACCCGUGCCUCAGAAGGCAACAUACCAAUGCCUUCAUAGGAUGCACACAUGUGCAUGCAUGCACACGUGACUGCACAUUGUUCAAACCCGUGCCUCCGAAGGCAACAUACCAAUGCCUUCGUAGGAUGCACACAUGUGCAUGCACGCACAUACCUAGCCUACCUCUUAAGCAAACGUGACUGCACAUGCUUCAAACCCGUGCCUUUCGAAACAAAGAAGCUUGCCUUUUGCACGACCUGCUGUAUAAAAAUUAAACGAGCCGAAGGCGAGCAGGAGGUUCCCUCGCGCCGGAGGCGCCGUGUCACACCACGACGGACAAUGCGCCGCACGAACCAGCACGCCGCACGACCAAAACACACUUCGACCUAUGCCCCCCCUUCAAGAUGUUUAUGAAUAUUAAACGAGCCGAAGGAGAAUAGGAGGUUCCCAUGCGCCGGAGGCGCCGUGUCCCACCACGACGGACAACGCGCCGCACGAACCNNNNNNNNNNACACGCCACACGACCAAAACACACUUCGACCUAUGCCCCCCUUCAAGAUGUUUAUGAAAAUUAAACGAGCCGAAGGCGAGCAGGAGGUUUCCUCGCGCCAGAGGCGCCGUGUCACAC
rnacentral:lncRNA from 1 species